CAGCCCCUGGCUCGGGGUGAAACUCCAACAUGGCUUCCGCUUUCGCCGCUCCUCCCCCUCCCCUUACUCCGGCUCCUCCAACCUCCUCCCGGUUUUCCCGACUCCCGCCCGACUGCGCAGCCGCGAUCCCGGAGGGAGCGCUCCAGGCCUAGCGCGCACCCGACCCCUUGCGCGUUCCGGCUCCGCGCGCCUGUCAGGCCGGGGCCGGCGGCGGAACAGCUUGGGACCCGAAACGCCUCGGCUUUUCUGCGGACCCGCGCCCGGCCGCUGCUGCCGGACGCUUGAAAAGAGGCAGAGUCUUGCUUUGUUGUCCAGGCUAAUCUUGAACUCCUAAGCUCAAGUGAUCCUCCCGCCUUGGCCUCCCAAAGUGCUGAGACUACAGAGAGAGAAUGCUAAUGAGCUGUGAAAUGACCAAAGAUCUGGCAGCAGAAGGGAAAAGAAAAAAUAACAGGAACAAGAGGAUUUAUCUGACUCAACUGGAGAUGGCUCCCUUCCCUAAUUUAUUGUUACAUCCUGAAGCUUCCCCCAUGCUGGGCUCAGUGUGAACAAACAGUGCGGGAGAAUGCAACCACUGCAGAGGUACAAGUUCACAGAGGCAGAGCUGCCCCUCGACUGGGCCAGAGGCAAAGACAAACCCCAGCCUCUUUCUUGUCAUUCAUUGAAUUUUGCUGAACCUGGAAAGGAAAUAAAUUCCAAAGGCAGGAAGUGACCCAGAGACCAUAACAAUAUGUGAAAAGCUUAGCCGGUGCUUCCGCCCCUUUGUUUCAAACUAUUCUAAUCUGUGUCCCAGGAAGCCUAGCCCAUGGCCAGAUGGACGUCUGUUUUCAGAUGCCUCCUGGCAUCUGCCACUCCCGGCUGGUGACAUUUGCACAUUUCAGAAGGCAAACCUGUCCCAACAUCUUCAAACUUCCAGAGAGGCGUAGCACCAGGAAAGUCCUUGGGUCUCUGGCUGACAGCACCAACUAGCUGAUUUGCUUCAUCUGCAGCUGAACUGCUGCUGGACUCCAGCCUAGAACACUAGCACACCGGGUCUGUUCUUGAAGAUUUGCAGAUUCUGAAAUCAAAAUGCCCUGUGUUGCCAGAAAACGCUGGCUCCCUUGCCUGCUUCAUAAUCCCUUCUCACCAGGCUUUCCUAAAGAAACUCAAUGAGUCAGGAAGGAAGAAAACAUGUCUGAGGGAGAUCUGGAGGUGGGCCGUUCUCUCUCAUUGCUUCUGAAAAUUCCCUUCUGUUUUGCAAUGUGGGUAAUGUUUAGGGAUUUGCUUUUACUUUUUCUCUGUUUCUUCCUCUGUCAGCUCUCGCUUUGAGAGACCCUUCAUUUACCACUCAUGAAAUUAGCUCUGCAAUCGCAGGAGGCUCUCUGAUGGGGAAUUAGUCACUGUUGCAAAAAAGUUUAGACUUGACUUUCAUCCCCAGAAGCAGGGCAAGAAAUUGUUCCCACCCUGCUCUCAGAAGGAACCAUCACUCAACUGCCCUGCUCUGCUCUGGCUCGGGGGCCUGUACUUUUCCUAGGCUUUUAAUUUUUACUGCGUACCUUCCAUCAGCCUUCCUACUGAAGGCUGGAUGCCAGCUGACGUCUAUGCACAGCAAGGUGGCUUCUGGGACACCUGCUUCAAACAGGUAUCCAGCUAGCUAACUGCUCCCCACCAAACCCUGCCAGGUAAUUGGAAAGGAACUUGGAGUUGAGUGAAUACCUCUUUCAAAAUGUUAAGUAGAUCAAAGUGUAAAGAAUCUAAUAUAUUUGUUGACAACUGAUUUAUAGAAAAGCCCCAGCAAGAAAGAAGGGGGAGGUUCAGCAUCAGGUUGGUGAAAAUGAGAUCGUGGGUAGGGCACCACUGUACAGCAUUCUGGCAUCAGACCUCUGUCAUAGGGUGCGAAGUCACUCUGUGCCACUAUCUAAAAUUGUGUUCUGUUUAUUAUGAAAGAGGUUUUCAAAAGUGUUUUGAUAAGCUUGGAUUUAUCCUGGAAAGGCAAUAUGGUCUCUAUUACAAGACAGGAGCUUAAUAUCAGAGACAGGUUGUAUCAAUGUAUGUAGCUGCUAGUAAAUAGUAGAUAAAAGAAGCUUCAGAAAGGUCGGGGGAGGGAGUCUUGUUGUUGGGAAGGAACAAUCUUGCAGGCGAUAUGAGAGAUUUUCUCUCUUUUUCUCCUUUCCUCUGCCUAUGGAAAAUCAAACAGGAGAAAGCUAGAAAUACGAGACAGAGAGAAGUAAUUUCUCCAACUGUUGACACUGGCCAAACAAGAUAAAUAGUUCAUAUUCUGAUGAUGAUGACAACAGUUAUGAUGAGAAGAUAUUGACCCGGAGGAAGAAAACAAAGGCUUUUGAUUUCAAGCUGUGUGUAAGCCCCAAAGAACUGUUGUCAGAGUCACUUUUAUGAUCUAAGGGACUUUUGGCUACAAUUAUAAGAAUUUAGGGUGAGUGAGAUAAAUAUAAUUGGUCAGAAAAAUCAGAAUUAGAUUAAGACAUGAUUGAAAAUGGUUAACCAUUAGUGAGAAGUAUACCAAAUUAUAUGUAUUUUUGUGUUUCUUUCAGUCUUGAUCUAAUUAUCUGUUAAAAAGUAACAUAGUUAAGAACUGUAUUCUGGUUUAAAUAUAACACAAAGCAAAAUAUUUUGUUGUGCUCUAUUAGGCAUAUGUUUGAGAUGCCUGGCCACUGGAGGUCAUCUCGUCUACUAUGUUCACCACAGAUAAAGAAUGAAAAGAGAAUAUACAACCUUGUGAUUGCUAACAGUGAAAUCUCAGAGUUAUGAUGUAACAGUAAGUGUUAUAUUCUACAUAAUCUUAGGUUUAACAGAGGUAGUUACUAGACACUUAAAGAACAUGCUUUUAUUUUGCAGAAGAGAAAAUGGAAUUAAAAAUUGGAAAAGAAUAGAGUCAUGACUCCCAAACUGUGUCCUAGGCACCCAAGACUUUGCGGCAAACUUAGAGGGGGGCUGUGGCAUAGUUUAAAUAUCAAGGAAGUAUAGUGGCACCUGACAUCUGUUGGAUAUCAACUGAACUAUUAGCUCAAGGUAGUUCAUUGUUCCAACAUUAGAUUGCGCUACAUUUCUUUCAAAAAUGUCCUGUCUUUGGGAAGCUGAGUUUUCAGCAGUUGUUGUAAAAUGCAAGUACCCAGAGAAAAUCAGUGUGGAAUAGGAGGUGAAGGUGCUUGUGUCCACAUGGGUUCCAAGAUUUGAGAAGGUAUUUGGUGCCCAAUUGGCAUAUACAUCCCUUUUUCUUUUUUUUGGAUGGAGUCUCACUCUGUUGCCAGGUUGGAGUACAGUGGCGCGAUCUCAGCUCAGUGCAACCUCCGCCUCCUGGGUUCAAGCAAUUCUCCUGCCUCAGCCUCCCAAGUAGCUGGGACUACAGGUGCAUGCCACCACACCCAACUAAUUUUUGUAUUUUUAGUAGAGACGGGGUUUCACUAUGUUGGCCAGGAUUGUCUCGAUCUCUUGACCUUGGGCACACACAUCCUUUUACAAGUAACCAAGUAUUUAAGAAUGAAAUAAAUCUUUUCUUUUGA